AUAUAUUUUCAUGCAAUACUUUUAUUCUUUUUUUUUUGUCUGUCUCUUUUCAAAUAGUUGAAACAGGUUUUUUGCGCAUUAUUUUCCUACGAUGAGUCUUGUCGCACGUAGAAAUGAUCGCAAAAGGCGUUUCUUUGGCACAAGAGAGCAUUGACGAAAUGAUAAAGAAGAAAGAAUUAUAUUUCGUGCAUACAGAAGACGGGAUGAUGUUUUGGUUCCAGAGAUAAUAGUUGCUAGAUAUGGGGUCGAGCUAAAACAUGAAAUGUCCUGAUUGAUCUUUAUGACAAUUGUAUCAAGCUUAAAUUAAAAAACCAGGGAAAUAAAAUCUGGAUACCUUCCGAUGAAAUAGAUAAGUUAUUUGCUUUCUAUAAGUUCAAGAGCAUGGUCAA